GGCUUCGUAACUCAGCUGGUAGUGUGGUUGCCGCGUUGAGGCAUGCUGUAUCUGUCGCUGGUUCGAAUCCAGCCGAAGCCC
rnacentral:tRNA from 1 species